rnacentral:lncRNA from 1 species
GGCUGAAGGGGAUAUCACCCAACUGCGUGACUGGGAAGCUCAUACCCUAUCACUAGAUUAAAAGCCACUUAUCGGUCAAGGAUCAUGGCCUGAAAAAUAAUACGAGAAAAAGGAGAAAAGGAUAUACGUAUGGAAUAACUUGGUCCUAUGAGAUAUGCCGGAUUCAUAUGAUCUGAUGCAGAGAUGAUUGGACUUGAUUUGUAAGGGUACUGGGGUGGUGUUGCUGUAUGUACUUUAAAAUGUAUAUUUAGAAUAAUCAUGAGGACACUUUCGAGCACAUUGCUUUUUUCACAGAGCAAAGCAAAUAGGGAUAUCUCUGAGGCCGAUUGGUUUGGAAAGGGUGUGAUUCAGCAAUUACUCUUAGAGGGCGAACUCUGGUUGUUAGUGUCACGCCCUGACCCCCCGAGCGUGUGCCCAUCCUGGCUUGGUCGAUUAAAUAGUGAUGUACGCAUAGCUGAUCUAUUCAUUUUAAUACGCAUGCGGAAGUGAUUAAUUAAUCUCUAGACAGCAAGAAGAUGGGAUAGAUUAGUAAG